GUACUAGUUUUACAUAAGGAUCUGCUAAAGCACACUUCUGGUAGCCAGGUGGAGAUCAGUUACUUCAAAUGGCCAAAGGUUGAACUUUUACUUGUGGAUUUUAUAUUCUCUUAAAAGCAAGUUAAAUGGUAACCUGCAUUUCAGUUUAUUCAAAGUAUUGGCCUGACCCCCAACACGGAACAGAAGUAAUGGAUCAGUGUUGAGAGAAUUACGUACAUCGCACGGUGACAGCCUCCGACCAGAAGAAUGUGUGAGAAAGCUGCAAAUCAGAAACUAAAUGACAUUGUAGUUUGCCAGACCCUAGUCAGCACCAUUCUGCUUUCUGCUUUUAUGAUCCAGCCUUAGAAAAGAAGUACCUCCUGCUGUAUGUGACAACAUGAAUGAACCUGGAGGACAGGAUGCUACAUGAAAUAAACCAGUCAUAGGACAAAUACUGUGUGAUUCCACUUACAUGUGUAUGUAAGUGUAUGUAUAACAGUUACACUCACAGAAACAGAGAGUGAGAAAUAUUUUGGGAGAAAAGAGUGAAAAUGGGAAGAGAAUUUGUGUGUAAGUCACUUCUCUUAAGUGCCUCAAUGAAUCUCUGGUAUCGUCCUCUAAGUUCUUUAGGUUGGUUUGCUUUUACUGAUUCAUUCACCUUUCUGCUUCUUUUUACCACAGACAUCAGGAGGUAAAAUGAAAAAGUCUCUUGAAUGCCAAAGGUUUGGAACAAGUACGCACCACCCCAGUUUAUACUAUGAUACACACAGGGGAAGGAGCAAAGGCCCUGAAUUUUAUUUCCAAAGGCUUGGAAAAGCAUCUUUCUCCUCCAAACAGUUCCUGAAAACCAUGGCUGCCAUCUGGCCCCCACUAUCUAUUGGCCAUUCUACUAUUGCUGAAACCCAUGCCUGUGUUUCUGUCUCAGCCCGGCUUUAUCUGCAGGCCAAGGUUCUCCCAGUGCCCAUGGUGGAAACACUGGAUCUGGGACCUCUGUAGACGAUCUGUCUCUUGGUGAUUUCAGUCCUCUUGCUUUUGCAAUGUUCACGUUUCCUUCGCACACUCAAUCUUCAAUGCUACAACCAACUACUUGGGACACACCUGCUGCUUUUCUGAGAAUCCCAGAAUGAAGCGUUGUAUGAUGUGGGGUCUCCAACCAUACACUUAGAAUUCUAUUUUGGACAUUUGCAUAACUGGAUGAGCUUAUCAGUCAAGAAAGGGACAUUGGGUAGGCAAUUAAUAAGGAAGCUUGCCAGGGGCUUAAUGAAAUGAGGUUCAUGACUGGUUUCAGUUUAUUGUCUGGUUCUCCCUCACCAGCCUAAUUAAAGUACAGAUUUGAGAGCUAGCAGGGAGAAUUGAAUCCUGAUUAAUUUUCAUGCUGGUAAGACCUUAAACUGAUUUCUUACCUUCUCUGGGCUUUAAAGUCUAUGGUAAUUUGGCAUGAACAGAACCCCUGCCUGAAUGCUGAGUCAUUUUCCCAAGAGAACAAAGCUUCUAGAAAGCUUGGUGGAUGGUUUUUCAUUUCAUGUAACCUGGAGUGAACUUCAGAUGCUGCCGCCAAAUUGGAGGGCUUACAGUGUCUUAGUUGGGCCAAAAGCCCAAUGAAUGCCAAGGGCCAAGGCCGUGUCUGCUUAGUGACUGUUGCCGACUGCCUCACCCGGGCUGCUGGUAUUGAAGCAAAUUCUAUUUGGAAAGAGGCCAGAUUCUUCUAUGUCUCCUGGUGGGGGUGGGGAGGGUGCCUAGAAUUUUAUAAUGUAUGUUUAUAUUUGUAUAAUCAGCAAAAUUUCUAAUUAAGUGAGAAUUAGUGUGUUUUACUUAGUUAAAAUUAUUGACUUUAGACACUGAACUAAACUGUAAAGUGUAACUUCUGAAAUUGUGUGUAGUAAUAAUAAUAUAUAGUGUUCACUAUGUGUAAACACUGUUUUAAUUGCUUAAUUUGUAUUAGUUCAUUUUAUUCUCACAACUCUGAGAUUAGUUUUCUCUUAUUAACUUCAGUUAACAUGUCAAGAUAUUAAGGCAAGUAGAGGUUAAGUGAUUUGCCUAAAUUAUACAAAAACUCAAGGUUAUACAAAAGCUCCCACUUUUUUUUUUUUUUCUGGAUGAGUCUGGCAUAACAAAAUUCAACAGAACUCUACAUGGCCUGCUAUUUACAGGUAUUUUUUGUAGGAGGAGGCAAAAUAAUCAGGAGAUGUGUACCUGCUUUAGAGACUCACUGAGUUAAGAUUUAGUGAUCAGGAAAGAAGACUGAAAGACUCAGAGGAUUGCGUUGAGAGGAGUGUAGAAAGUGUAAGAGUGUCAGAAAAUUCAUGAUACAAGGAGUAUAUCGCUUAGAAUUUUAUAGGGAUAAUUGAUAAUAAAGCCAUUAGUAAAGAUGGAAAAUGAAAUAAGGAAAAGCAAGAUAAGUUAAUUCAGGAAACUUAAGUGCACAGAGUAUAGUCCUGAUGCUGAUCCAUGUCUGAAUUCAAAGAAGACAAUUUUGAUGUUCCAUGGAAGAAUCUAUUGAAACCAUGGUGGAGUAAGACUGCGAUGCAGUAGUGACUAGAGAUAUCUUAUACAAGUGAUUCUGACCUUGGUUUGGGGGUGAAAUAGGGCCAAACUGUUGAGAAAGUUACUCAAGCUAUGAAACAUAUGCAUGGCACUCAGUAACUGUAUGCAUUAUGAUUGCCUGCAAACAUUAGACAUUUUAAAUCAACCAAAGGAGUUGUCUAUUGGAUGCAAAGGUAUCAUCUUCUUUUAAAAUGGAAACAUUUUAAAAUGCUUACAAGAAUUUGAUGGGCUACAGUGGAUAUGUUUUUCUUUCCAAGCUCGACUGUCUCCAAGUCAAAGUUCUCUUUUUAUAAUGUAUUUGAUAAUGUCACCUCUACUUUCCUGAAAUAAGCUCCACAGUUAAUAUAAAAUCAACAAUACUACCACUUGUA